rnacentral:rRNA from 1 species
AACGAACGCUGGCGGCGUGCCUAAUACAUGCAAGUUGAGCGCUUAAGGUUGGUACUUGUCCCGACUGGAUGAGCAGCGAACGGGUGAGUAACACGUGGGGGAUCGGCCGUUGAGCGUGGGACAACAUUUGGAAACGAAUGCUAAUACCGCAUAAAAACUUUAAACACAAGGUUUAAGUUUGAAAGAUGCAAUUGCAUCACUCAAAGAUGAUCCCUCGUUGUAUUAGCUAGUUGGUGAGGUAAAGGCUCACCAAGGCGUUGAUACAUAGCCGACCUGAUAGGGUGAUCGGCCCCAUUGGGACUGGGACACCGCCCAAACUUCCACGGGAGGCAGCAGUAGGGAAUCAUUGGAAAUGGACGAAAGUCUGACCGAGCCACGCCGCGGGAGGGAAGAAGGGUUUCGGAUCGUAAAACUCCGUUGGUAGAGAAGAACGUUGGUGAGAGUGGAAAGCUCAUCAAGUGACGGUAACUACACAGAAAGGGACGGCUAACUACGUG